UGAGCAAUCUGCCCUUCUCAUCGGAAUAAGCGUUGGAAACGACGUCUAAUGCCGAAUACGACCUCCUUUCGCAUGAUCGGAGGUGGAAAGCUCCGGCGGAGAAGGAUGAGCUCGCGGCCUAUCAGCUAGUUGGUGUGGGUAAUGGCCCACCAAGGCGACGACGGGUAGCCAGCCUGAGAGGGUGACCGGCCACACUGGGACUGAGACACGGCCCAGACUCCCGUAGGGAGG
rnacentral:rRNA from 1 species